rnacentral:rRNA from 1 species
AUACGUAGGUGACAAGCGUUAUCCGGAUUUACUGGGCGUAAAGGGAGCGUAGACGGCAUAGCAAGUCUGAAGUGAAAUCCCAUGGCUUAACCAUGGAACUGCUUUGGAAACUGCCAGGCUAGAGUGCAGGAGAGGUAAGCGGAAUUCCUAGUGUAGCGGUGAAAUGCGUAGAUAUUAGGAGGAACACCGGUGACGAAGGCGGCUUUCUGGAGAGUAACUGACGCUGAGGCGCGAAAGCGUGGGGAGCAAACAGGAUUAGAUACCCUGGUAGUCCACGCCAUAAACGAUGAAUACUAGGUGUAGGGGGUAUCGACCCCCUCUGUGCCGACGGUAACACAUUAAGUAUUCCACCUGGGGAGUACGGCCGCAAGGCUGAAACUCAAAUGAAUUGACGGGG